rnacentral:rRNA from 1 species
GUGCCAGCAGCCGCGGUAAUACGGAGGGUCCGAGCGUUAUCCGGAAUCAUUGGGUUUAAAGGGUCCGCAGGCGGUCAAUUAAGUCAGAGGUGAAAUCCCAUAGCUUAACUAUGGAACUGCCUUUGAUACUGGUUGACUUGAGUUAUAUGGAAGUAGAUAGAAUGUGUAGUGUAGCGGUGAAAUGCAUAGAUAUUACACAGAAUACCGAUUGCGAAGGCAGUCUACUACGUAUAUACUGACGCUCAUGGACGAAAGCGUGGGGAGCGAACAGGAUUAGAUACCCUGGUAGUCCACGCCGUAAACGAUGGACACUAGUUGUUGGGAUUUAUCUCAGUGACUAAGCGAAAGUGAUAAGUGUCCCACCUGGGGAGUACGAUCGCAAGAUUGAAACUCAAAGGAAUUGACGGGGGCCCGCACAAGCGGUGGAGCAUGUGGUUUAAUUCGAUGAUACGCGAGGAACCUUACCAGGGCUUAAAUGUAGUCUGACAGCUUUAGAGAUAGAGUUUUCUUCGGACAGAUUACAAGGUGCUGCAUGGUUGUCGUCAGCUCGUGCCGUGAGGUGUCAGGUUAAGUCCUAUAACGAGCGCAACCCUUGUCGUUAGUUGCCAGCAUGUAAAGAUGGGGACUCUAACGAGACUGCCGGUGCAAACCGAGAGGAAGGUGGGGAUGACGUCAAAUCAUCACGGCCCUUACGUCCUGGGCCACACACGUGCUACAAUGG